GUGUCAGCAGCCGCGGUAAUACGUAGGGGGCGAGCGUUGUCCGAAGUUACUGGGCGUAAAGCGCGCGUAGGCGGGCUGUUAAGUUGGAUGUGAAAUCUCCGGGCUCAACCCGGAAACCGCAUCCAAAACUGGCUGCCUUGAGGUAUGGAGAGGGAAGUGGAAUUCCUGGUGUAGCGGUGAAAUGCGUAGAUAUCAGGAGGAACACCCGUGGCGAAGGCGGCUUCCUGGCCAUAUCCUGACGCUGAGGUGCGAAAGCUAGGGGAGCGAACGGGAUUAGAAACCCGUGUAGUCC
rnacentral:rRNA from 1 species